GUAGGUGGCAAGCGUUGUCCGGAAUUAUUGGGCGUAAAGCGCGCGCAGGCGGUUCUUUAAGUCUGAUGUGAAAGCCCACGGCUCAACCGUGGAGGGUCAUUGGAAACUGGAGAACUUGAGUACAGAAGAGGAAAGCGGAAUUCCACGUGUAGCAGUGAAAUGCGUAGAGAUGUGGAGGAACACCAGUGGCGAAGGCGGCUUUCUGGUCUGUAACUGACGCUGAGGCGCGAAAGCGUGGGGGAGCAAACAGGAUUAGAUACCCUGGUAGUCCACGCCGUAAACGAUGAGUGCUAAGUGUUAGGGGGUUUCCGCCCCUUAGUGCUGCAGCUAACGCAUUAAGCACUCCGCCUGGGAGUACGGCCGCAAGGCUG
rnacentral:rRNA from 1 species